GGUGCUCCGAUCCGUACGGCGGCAAGCAGGUGUCUGUGGCUCCGACGACGAUCCUCUUUCUUCCCUAAGAGGAUCCUCUUUUUUCUUCCCUACGCUGGUUGGUUUAUGUGUAAGCAGAGCACUGAAACCGCUAUAUAAGCACAGCAGCCGGGCGCGACCCAAGCCACAAGGUGCAUAAGUGCAUUGGUCUGUGUGUGGUGGACUGCUGGUUAACCGGUUCGAUGGAGACACGGAGUGAUGGCUUCUUGAUUGAUCACUGAUGGCAGCAACUGUGGCGGCAGGAAGUGGGGAAUGGAGACUGGGAGCGCAAGGCCGCUUCGUCAGAUUGCAGCUUCAGCUACGGCCUACAGAACCAAGAGCUAGCGACAUCACACCUAGAAAUCACGAGGAGUUGGGAGACUCCUUUACUUGUCAACCUCAGAUCAUGGAUUUCGAGGCCUUGUAAAUGCCAGUAUAUGUAAUUUUCUUUUCUUCUC